UGGGCACAUUCCCACUUGAUAUCACAUUCUAAGGACUUGCACAGGAUGCCUGCUGGGGAGAUAAGGCUGGAGGGGGCAAUAUGUGUGGACAGAUUAUAAAAGGCCCUGUUUACUACCACAGAGUUUAGAUUCUCCGAGACAAAAGGAACCCUCAAAAUGGAAUGGCAUGAUAAGAUCUGGUUUUUUUGAAUGAGUUACUCUGUUGGAGAGUGAAAUGGGAGGGUGAAGAGGCCUUCUGAGGCAAGAAGACUUACUCAGGAAGCUGUACAAGAACAAUAAAGGCCUUAAAAGGCUGUGCAGGCACAAGAUAGGAUUAAAAGGAUUUGGAGAUUGGACCAGGAGCAGGACCCAUCAAGGAUGACCAUAUUUACUUAACAAGGAUGUGGGAAUGUUGGAACUUGGAGGUCCCUUUCCUUCUAGCCAAAUAAUCUUCAAAGACAUUUUUCCAUCUCCUGCCUGACGACAACAGGAAUAAAAUGUUCUUCAGUCCCAACUGCCACCACUGUGAAGGCACAGACAAGAAAAAGGAGAGGAAGUAGAAAGUAGAUAGUAAACAAAACAGGUACUGAUGGUUAGGAGGCUAACCUUGUCACGGUACUCAGUGAUUUCUGAGCCAUUAGUGGCUUAACCUAGGUUUUUAUUGGUCCGAGGCUGGGGCAAGCUUAUGCUAGCACUGUGCAUUUAUGCAGUGCUUUUAUUUCCAGUAUCUGUACUUCUAUUUUCAUUCUCCAUUUUAUUCAUCCAAUAAUAACUUUCUUAUUUUCAUUGAGUCAACUGGCAGUAUGUUCUGGACUAUAUUAAAACCGUUUUCCAAAGUUUUGCCAUGGCUCGAGUUUCCAAAAUCACCACCACUUCAGCAAAUUUGGCCAAGUUUAUUUAUAUUGUUUAGUGAGUAACAACAUACAAAUGGUAAAUGAAGACAGUACAGUAAUCUUAAGUGUGUAGCUUGAAUUUUUACUUACGUAUACAUCUGUAUAACCACCCUCUAGAUAAAAGUAUACAACAUUUUCUGUACUGCAUGAGAUUCUCUUGUGUACUUUUCAGUCUGUUCCUUGAAAGGUUAAUCACUAUUCUGACUUCUAUAAACAUCUUUUCGUUGUGCUUAUUCUUAAACUUUGUAUAAAUGAGUCACACACUAGAACUUGUUUGUGUCUGAUUUCUUUCACUCAACAUGGUAUCUCUAUGUGAUUUCUUCAACUUGUUGGAGCUGAUUUUUUUUAAUGUGCAAUAUUCCAUUAUGUAAAUCUAUUACAAUUGAGCAUUUGGAUUGUUUCAUCUUUUGGAUAUUAUGAACAAAGCUGCUGUGAAUAUAAUGUACAAAUGAGAGAACAUAGCACUAAUUUCUUUUGAGUAUAAAGAAUGGAAUUGCUGGAUCAUAAAGCAGAUGCAUGUUAUCUCUAGUAGAAACUCAGUGGUUUUUCAGAACAAUUGUAUUAUUGUGCAUGUUCCCCCAGCUACGAAUAAGAGUUCUACAUCCUUGGGCCAGGCAUGGUGGCUCAUGCCUGUAAUCCCAGCACUGUGGGAGGCCGAGGCAGGCAGAUCACGAGCUCAGGAGAUCGAGACCACCCUAGCUAACACAGUGAAACCCCAUCUCUAAUAAAAAUAGAAAAGAAAAUUAACCAGGUUGGGUGGCACAUGCCUGUAGUCCCAGCUACUUGGGAAGCUGAGGCAAGAGAAUCACUUGAAUCCAGGAGGCAGAGGUUGCAGUGAGCCAAGAUCACGCCACUGCACUCCAGCCUGGGCAACAGAGUGAGACUCCAUCUCAAAAAAAAAAAAAAA
rnacentral:lncRNA from 1 species